UAAUCAUAUGCUUGUCUUAAAGACUAAGCCAUGCACGUCUAAGGAUAAACAAUUUUAUUCGUAAACCUGCGAACGGCUCAUUAAAUCAGUUUAAAUCUAAUCGGUUAUACCUUUAUAUGGAUAACUGUAGUAAUUCUAGAGCUAAUACAUGCACAAAACCCGAACUUUUUGGAACGGGUGUAAUUAUUUGACGAGAAACCAAUAGUAGCAAUACUAAAAAAAAAGGAAUUAAAAUAACAUUAUGAAUCGCAAUUCCUUUCUGUGAUGAUACGAAUGAUAUUCUGCCCUAUCAACUUUCGAUGGUAGUAUAGGGGACUACCAUGGUGAUGACGGGUAACGGAGAAUUUGGGUUUGAUUCCGGAGAAAAAGCCUGAGAGACGGCUAUUACUUCCAAGGAAGGCAGCAGGCGCGUAAAUUACCCAAUCCUAAUUUGGGGAGGUAGUGACGAGAAAUACUAGUAUUGGUCCCAAUGGGAACAAUGAUUGGAAUGAGAACAAUGUAAAUACAUUAACGACUAACAAUUG
rnacentral:rRNA from 1 species